ensembl:lncRNA
AAAUGGAGGAAGUCUGUGGCCUCUCUAAGAAGCACUAGGCUUUUGCCUGACUCGUUGGAAAGGAAGAAACUUUGCUUGGUGAAACAGGUUCUGCUAAAGCAUUGCUGAAACCUGAACCUUGUGAGAGCAACGCACUCAGCAUAAAAGGGUAUCAUCUGACUCCUUUACAGGAAGUAUCAAACUUUAUCUUUUAAAAAAGAAUUCCUUCAGAAAGACAGUAAAAGAAACUAUGAGACAAGUUCAAUUCAACAAAUUAAAAAAAAAAAAAAAACACAAGAAGCAGCUAUACCAUAGGAUUUUCUUUAUGUAGAUGAAUAUCAUUGAAGAAGAAUGGAUGCUCUCAAAAAAGUACAAUAAGUACCCCCAUUUACUAAAUAGUAUUUCCAGGGAAGUGUGAGAGUGAAAGUAAAUUAAAUUUACUAUAGAAAUGAAAUCUGAUCAGAAUUUUACUUUUGCAAAACAUAUUAAUUCAAAGUCUUUAGCUUAAAAAAAAACUUUAAUUUUGCCAACUCCUAAACUGGACUAAAGAAAAUUAUAUGUGUAUGUGUAUGUACAUAUGUCUGUAUGUAUCUGUACAUGUGUAUAUAUAGAUAAUAGAUAUAAGUAGGAAAGAAAGAAAGAGAGAGAGAGAGAGAGAGAGAGAGAGAGAGAGAGAGAGAGAGAGAGAAAGAAAAAAGAAAGAAGGAAGGAAGGAAGGAAGGAAGGAAGGAAGGAAGGAAGGAAGGAAGGAAGGAAGGAAGGAAAGAAGGAACACCAAUGUUCUUACAAUUUUGCUAUUUAGAGGACUUUACUAAUGUCUUCCAACAAAAUAAAUCUAUAUAAAUCACUAAAUACUAUAAAUGAUCAAAUAAAUAUAAAGUAUUAUAUUAGUCUAUAGACAACUCCAGAUUACAAAAAUGUUAAAACUAUGUUUUAUGUUAUGAUUUAGAUAGCUUUUAAGCAACCCAUUAACUAGAAAAUGUGUUCCUUUCUUAAAAAUAAAAAUUUGCAUUAAGACCUUUACUAAAUUAAAUUCUUCCAUCUGCAUAGCCACAUAUCUUUAUAUAACCUUUUUUUUUCUAUUUUGCAGGAAACACAAAUAUCAAGAAAGAAAAAACUUGUGAUUUGAAUUUCUUAUUCUUUAUGCUCUAAAUACUGAAAAGUAGCUACAGGAUUAUAUGUUGUUAAUGCUAAUCGUGAUAGGGGUUUUUCUCUUUUAUUUCUGACUGACUCCUACAUGUUAGCAUUAACAGUAUAUAGCCCAUUAUCAGCAUUCACAUGAAACGAGUUCCUGCUAUGGAAGGAUGAUAGAAGAAUGUGAGUCACCCUACUGGAAAAACAUAACUAAUGUAUUUUUAUUUGUAUUUUUAACCAUAGCUUAUUCAUUGAGAUACACCAGUCUGAAAUUACAAAAUUGUUAUUUUUAAAGUCUUUAAAUCAUGAUUAUCAAAACAUUAUAUUUUCCUCAAAAAGAAAAUAGAAAAACAUAAUACAAAUCAAUGUUUCUAAAUCUGUUUUCCUGGGAGGUUUUCUUUUUUGGAAUAAUAUGAUAACACAACAAUUUUAGUGAAUACUAUUACAAUUCAGCUAGUAUAUGAUUAAAAACACUGUAAAACAUUUUAGUAAUUUAAUUUUCACUUAAGAAAUUAGAAGCCCUAAUUGCCUUCAGGUCAAGAAUGGAUAGAUAUCUAGUUCUAUGUUUUAUGAUUUUUCCAUCUACAUUUUUUAAAAGUUCAAAAUUUUGUUUCCCCCUUAAUUUCUUAACUUCCUAUUUUAUUUUUUAAAAUGCAAAGCAAUGACUUUCAAUUAUUCAACAGAUUUAAAAGAGUGAAGAAUGUUAAAGUUAAAUAUUUGGUAUAAUUAUUUCAGUAUAAAUAAGAUUUACCUUUAAAGGCACAAAGACAAAUUUAUAGGUAAUUUGUAAAAGCAUUAGGUAAUGAAUGAAAGUAAUGAGCAAAGAAAAGCUUUCCAGAUUAAUCAUCUUCUAGUUGUGGGCCAAUAGAUCUGGUCUCACCAUAUUUUUGCUGCACCUGACCUUUCUUUUAAAAUGUCUUUUUAAAAAAAAGUUAAGGAUUUCUUUCUCUUCUUUUUCAUAUUUAAUAUUCAGUUACUUAAGAUAACCACCUAGGGGAGUAGUUAACAAUACCCUUCCAGCUCCCUAAAAAGUAGUUAUGAGAGGUCUCUACACAAUGUUAACUUUAAGAAAGGGAGCUACUUUUCAAUUGGAAAUUUGAAAUUACUCUUCCUCAAUAAGAACUCAGACAAGUGAUAGUUAUUAAAAUAUAUACUUGAGCUACAUUAACUUUGAGGAGUAAAUACCAUCCAUACAUGUUAUUCACAGGUUGAGAUGCUGUUUUUCUUUUCUUAAUGUGUUAGUACAAAAGAAAAUCAUAGCUUCCCUCCUCUUACCUGCAGCAAAAGAAAAAACAGAACCUGAAAAUCCCUAUGCAUAUAUGAUUUGCUUUGUUGAAGAGAUUUCUCUUUGUUUUCUAUUAAGCUAAAAUAAACUAAAACAUGAGGAAUGAAAAAGUAAUGACUUGUCAUACUUAGAGAUAUGUUUUAAUAACUGUUACUGGAAGAAGAUAAAUACCUUGUCAAACAUUUUAACAACUUUCUUGCCUACUCCUUGUUUAUGUAUGUUUUCUUAUUUGUAUUAUUUUACUCAGGAAAUCCUUAUAUUGACUUCAAAUGUAUACACACACACAAAAUUACUAUUAUUUGCUAAUGUUUUUUAAUAGAAAUAAAUGUUAUAUUUCAUCAAAAGCUUUUUCUGAAUCUUUUGAUAUAGUAGCAUGGUUUUUAUUGUUCUUGACUAAUUGAAUUGACUAAUAUAGUCAAUUAUGUUUAUACUUUUUGUAAUAUUGAAGUAAUCCUGUAUUCCUAUGGUAUAUAUAUUGCUAUAGUCAUCUUGCUAAUAUUUCAUUAAAAAUUUUUGCAUCAAUUUUCAUUAGGGAUAUUGUUCUAUGGUUUUUUCUCUGUUUUGACUCUCUCUUCUUUUGGUAUUAAGACCA